GACGAACGCUGGCGGCGUGCUUAACACAUGCAAGUCGAACGAUGAAGAAGAGAAACGCGAACUUCGGUUCAAAUUUCACUUCGGAUUAGUGGCAGACGGGUGAGUAACGCGUGAGCAACCUACCUCUUACAAAGGGAUAGCCUCGGGAAACCGUGAUUAAUACCAUAUGACACAUUCAUAAGGCAUCUUAAGAAUGUUAAAGCUACGGCGGUAAGAGAUGGGCUCGCGUCCCAUUAGCUAGGUGGUGAGGUAACGGCCCACCAAGGCGAGGAUGGGUAACCGGCCUGAGAGGGUGCACGGUCACACUGGCACUGGGCCACGGUCCAAACUCCUACGGGAGGCAGCAGUGGGUGAUAUUGCACAGUGGAGGGAACUCUGAUGCGGCGACGCCGCGUGAGCGAUGAAGGAAUUCGUUACGGAAAGCUCUGUUCUAUGGGAAGAAAAUGACUGUACCAUAAGAGAAAGCCCCGGCUAACUACGUG
rnacentral:rRNA from 1 species